rnacentral:lncRNA from 1 species
AAUUUGAUUCAUAUAAGAAAAGCCCAGAACAUUCAAUGAAAACACAUCUGAGGCAAAUGACAAAUAUGAUCGGGAGUUGAAAGAUGUUGGGUAUGUGUUGACUGAUGAACAACAAAUCCAAGCUGUCAUACGCUCUUUACCUAGUUCUUGAGGUUAUAUGAAAAUGUAUUUGACCCAUAAUGAGCGAAUCACAACUCUGAAGAUGUCCGGAGAUACCUUGAGUUAGAGGAGGAACGACUUGAGGCUGCAAAGCCAAUAGCUGAGUUGCACAUGGCAACAACCUCCAAAACCAAGAGUGAUUCAAAGAAAAGGAACUGGGGAAAGAAGAUAGGGCCACCUCAAGCUCAGCUAACUCAACCUGCUAAAAGAGCAAAGACUGAAAAAGGCAAGAACAAACGCCCCAAACGUGUCAAAGUUGUUAAAGUGAAAUGCUAUAAUUGUGAUAAGAUGGGUCACUAUGCUAGAGAUUACUCUAAGCCUCCAAGAAAGGUAUUUCACGAUACUCGAAUUAGUGAACUUUGUGUUUCUAGUACUAUUUUUCUAACUGAAUCUAAUCCUUUGUUGAAUUUCGGCGAGUUUCACGUGGAGCAAAGUAGAUAUAUGUGGGAAACAACAAUAAAGUUGAUGUUGAAGGGAUCAGUACAUGCAAGUUAGUCCUGCGUGGUGGUCGAGACCUAAUUCUACAUGAUGUUCUCUUUGCACCAACAAUUCGCCGGAAUGUUAUUUCAGUUUCAGUUUUGCUUAAGCUAGGAUUUGACUUGUUUUGUCAUGGCAAUUGUCACACCUCUUUUCCCCCCAAAAGAUAUGUGUGUUAUAGAUUAUGGGGGAUUAAAGAGUUUUCUCAAUUAAAGUGACAAGCUUGAGUAGGGAUUAUUUUAUUUAUAGAGUCGCCACUUGGAAUUGAGUUUUUGGGUAUUCCAAGUCACCUUUUAUUUGAAUCCCUAGUCAAAGGAAGGUUUGACUCUAUUAUUAUUGGUCUGCGAAAUAAAUUUCAGGUAAGGAAUUCUGUUGACUGGGGAGAAAGUGUAAGGCAUUCCUCGAGUCCCGUGGUUCUAGCACAGUUGCUUUAUUGACUAUAUUUGGAUUAUAUUAUUUUUGGAUAAACUGUAUUUUAUUGGAUUUCUAUAUUUUACCUAUCUGCUUUUAAUUAUUUUAAAACAAUUAUGGAAUUUAUUUAAGCAAGUCGUGGUGUCGCGCACUUGUUAUUUUGUACACAUCGCAAAUCACGCCACGUGAAACGUAUCCGUGAUUCGCAACAUGUUUGUUUUAAUUAUUUUGAAAUUGUGGUCAAGUCGCAUGAACGCUCACUUGAGUUGGGGUUUACAUAUCAUGACUAUGCCGCGAGAACCGUACCCAUAGUCGCGAUGAUUUAUUAUUAAUCGCGCUUAGAACAAGCUACGGAUGUUCAAAGAUGUUCGUCCUAAACUAACUUGAGAUUAUUGUAAGGUCAAGGAGUUAUGGAUAUAAAAUUAUCUUUGGAACAAGUGUAUGGUUUUAGCUAUUUAGGGUAUUGAUAAAUUAUCUAAAUUUAGAAAUAUUUACAACUAUUCUAUAGUUACUUUUUUGUUUUGUUUUGUUUUUGGGGCUAACUUUUAACUACUCUCAUAGACCCGAUGACUGAAAGGCAAUCGGCCCAGUGGUAUUAAAUGGCCUAAAUCUUUUUUCCUACUAUUAAUCAAAACCCAAAAUACUCUUUACAUUAUAAUAUUCUAAAAUCCAAACUUCUCUACCUAACGAAACCUUUCAAUAUAUCGUAAUCUCAAUCAAGCAAUUAAAAAUUCACAAACAUAAGUCAAGCUAAACGGUGUUUAAAAAAUAGCAAUUUAAGAAGCAACUUUAUGUUUUCUAAAUAAUACUUCAAAAACCUAUCCUAUAUGCACAGAUUUAGACAUGACUCAUACAUGAAUAAAAUAGAUAAGCAAAGCAGGUUCAAUCACUAAAUAAGAAAAAAGGUUUGAAAUGAGAUCAAACACAUGAUAAAGACACAUGGCAUUCUAAUAAUAAACCAACACUACUAUCGUAAGAUCCAAAAGCAGUGAAAACAAACAAAUAAGAUAGAGAUGGACCUUCAAUAGUCGUAGUUUCAAUUCAAUUAAUAAACUUUCCAAGUUGGUUUACAAAGCGAGCAAAUGGUUAUUCCGAAAAUGCUAAGAGGUCGAAAUCGCUACCGGAGCUCGAACAGUAAACCGGCAGCACCAAAACUUGAAACGCGACCUCAAGUUUCAACCUUUUAUACCUUUUAUAACUCGACCAAAAUGAGGAGACAAAAUCGGAAUCUUGGCAAGUUUACGGGUUGUUUUGUUGUGGAUUUUCAACUGAUUUUGGGUGGUGUUUUGAAGUGGUUUUGGAGCUGAAUUUGCUGCAUUAUUUUUAGCUGAUUUCAGCAGGUUUUUGGCUCAUUUUGGGGGUGGAUUCAAGCUUGUUUUUCAGCUGAUUUAGGGUUGUUUGAGGUGGAAAAGAGCUGAUUCUUAGAUAAGCUCUCAACUGAUUUUCGGGCUGAGGGAGGUCGUUUUUUCCAGGAAAAGAUAAGCAGCGGUUGCUGCGUUUUUGGCUCUUUUAAUGGCUGAAAAUUGCUGCCCGUUUUUUGAGAUUUUCUUGGCUGAAAUUUUUUGAUCGAAAGUGGCCAGCUUUUCAUGAGCUUUAAAGACUGAUUUUUUGAGGGUGUAAGAUGAUUCCUUCCUCCUCUUUUCACGCCCAUUUUCCCUCGCUGUCCCCCUAUUUCCUC